rnacentral:rRNA from 1 species
CUGCUGCCUCCCGUAGGAGUCUGGUCCGUGUCUCAGUACCAGUGGUGGGGGACCUUCCUCUCAGAACCCCUACGCAUCGUCGCCUCGGUGGGCCGUUACCCCGCCGACUAGCUAAUGCGACGCAUGGCCAUCCUAUGCCGGAGUCGCCUCCUUUGACCCCAAGAAGAUGUCUCCUAAAGGUGUUAUGCGGUAUUAGACGGAAUUUCUUCCGCUUAUCCCCCUGCAUAGGGCAGGUUCCAUACGUGUUACUCACCCGUGCGCCGG